UAAUACGAAGGUGGCAAGCGUUGUUCGGAUUUACUGGGCGUAAAGGGAGCGUAGGCGGUCUGGUAAGCCCUCCGGGAAAUCUCCCGGCCUAACCGGGAAAGGUCGGAGGGGACUGCUUGACUAGAGGGCGGGAGAGGAGCGCGGAAUUCCCGGUGUAGCGGUGAAAUGCGUAGAGAUCGGGAGGAAGGCCGGUGGCGAAGGCGGCGCUCUGGAACGAUCCUGACGCUGAGGCUCGAAAGCGUGGGGAGCAAACAGGAUUAGAUACCCUGGUAGUCCACGCCCUAAACGAUGGACACUAAGUGUCGGCAGGUUACUGCCGGUGCCGCAGCUAACGCAUUAAGUGUCCCGCCUGGGGAGUACGGCCGCAAGGUUGAAACUUAAAUGAAUUGACGG
rnacentral:rRNA from 1 species